GAAAGUCUUUGGAUUUGGGGGUCAGAGGAGUUGCAAGUCUAAACUUUCAUACCCUUCUCUUUAGGAUGUGUGAUUUUUCUCUGUAUGUCUAAACCAGUCUAAAUUUCCCUAGAUGGUCCUGACUCUGGGUGGAUCUAACAAGGAUCCUGGAACUCCAGUUCUGCUUUUUGGAUUUACCGGGAACUUCCCAGUCCAGACGAUUGGAAUUACAGCAUUAUACUUUGACUGGUAUGAUCUUCUGCUUUCGGUAACCAUCCUGUAACAACAAAGCCACUGCUUCGAUACGUUUAGUUUCUGGAAUUAAAAUUUUAAUCUCUCCAUUUUUUAAUUUAAUUUCUGCCUCUAAGUUCUCCAGUAGAUCUCCCCUUAACAGGAGUUUAGGAGAAUUUGGCACAUACAAAAACUGCUGAGUGACCCAUUGCUUUCCUAAUUUCAUUGUUAAAGAUUUAAAGAAGGGUCUAGUUUCUCGUUCACUUGUUGCACCAACACCACCAAUUUCUUCAAAACUUAACUCUCCCUCUAAGGUAUUUAAAACUGAAAAGGUGACUCUAGCAUCAAUUCACAUUCAAUUUUCUGUUCUCCCAGUUUAGCUGUAACCAGAGCUUCUGCUGGGAGACUCCCCUCCGGUCCCCGUCAGCUGCGUUCACUUAAAAAGAACAAAUCGACAUAUGGCACUUCAUUCCAUUUACUCUCUCUCCUACAAAACAACAGUAAUUGCAAUAUAGUAUUAUAACUCAAAGUUCUGUUUGUUUCCCAUUUUUCCUGCAAUUCACCCCAGUGUGCCAACAAACAUCCCAACGGUGAUGGUUUUGGUAUCUUUUCAUCAGCAGUUCUAUUUCCUGCACUCUUAUUCUUAAACAAUUUUGCUAAUGCCAUUAUACUUAUAUACAUUCAAAUCCCAAAUACCAAACAAACGCAAAUGACAGUUGUCCCAAAUAAUACACAAAGUCCAACCCAGCAAUAGCUUUCGCUUACGACUUAGGGGCAGACGCCUAGGCUUCCACUGCAAACGGGUACCCUCCAAGCCCCAACCCUGCGAAGCUUUCGCCGCGCCUCACGGGCAGGCUUUCCAAACAAAUUCCAAAGCAGCAGCGCCUUACCUUUUUUCCAGGGAACGCCGCGAGGAGCUUUGUGAGUCGAGGGCGAUGGUUCUCCCCGAGAAUACCUCGGCGCCGGCCGGAGUUCGAUCGACACUCGAUCUCGUCCAGUCUCACUCGCAAGGUCCCGUCUGGGUCGCCAAAACCGUUACCGAAAUCCGGAAUAGAACUCCUUAACACCAACGUGAAGUUAAGAAGCGGGCACUUAGUUUAUCGCAGCGCUGGGGACACGGGGGAUCGCUCCUCCAAAGGCGUGUCCCACUUAGUAUCAAAAUCCGUCAGUUUUUACAGACUUUUUCUGUCAGGUCAUUGUUACAUAAGCUCUUUCCAUAAAAAGGCAUACUAUGCUCGUUCUUAAAUUUAACCUUUCUAAGGAUUGGUCCUUUGAUUAUAUAACCUUAUCAAUAUUCUUAUUUAAAAACAAUCAUUGGUCAGUUACA